CCAUGGUAAAUUCUUAACUCAGCGAUGAAUUCCAAUGACAAGUUUUCUAGCAAGUGAAGAUUAGAGGCUAGAAGAGUGAUAAGUGAAGUACAUCCUACUGGUCCCUGAAGACUAGGUACACUAAGCCAAUGAGAAACCAAAAGUGUAACAGGUGAAGUGGGUACUUUAUUAAUAGCAGCAUAUAAAAGUUGUAAAUCUCCUACUCUUACUUUCCUGAUGUCAUCGAGAUAGAAAAGAUUGU
rnacentral:lncRNA from 1 species